UGGGGAAUGGUGUAAAGGUAGCACGACUGGCUCUGAACCAGUUAGUCGGGGUUCGAAUCCCUGUUCCCCAG
rnacentral:tRNA from 1 species